GAAAGAUGAGAGCUUGGCUGAUAAGCAAGCUGAGAAAGGCAAGCACACUUGGCCUAAGACAGAAGGGUCCUGGCAACUUUUGCAAAACUGGAAUUAGAGACUAGAGCGAUCAGAGAACCAGAGCUCCCCGACCAGGAAUGGAACCCGCACCCACUGUAUUGGAAGCACGAAGUCUUAACCACUGGACUGUCAGGGAAAGGUACCCCACCCUCUGCACAUCUGCCUGUGAUACAGGAGCCCCUGGGGAACCAGACCCAUCAUUUGCGCCCAUAACAGUUUCUCAGAAUUUCGCCUGUGUCACCCCAUUGCUGAUUGUGUGCACUCAGCCAGGGACACGAGAUCUCCUAUAACUGUGGGAUUCUG
ensembl:lncRNA